rnacentral:rRNA from 1 species
CAGUCGCCGCGGUAAUACGUAGGUGGCAAGCGUUGUCCGGAAUUAUUGGGCGUAAAGGGCUCGCAGGCGGUUUCUUAAGUCCGAUGUGAAAGCCCCCGGCUCAACCGGGGAGGGUCAUUGGAAACUGGGAAACUUGAGUGCAGAAGAGGAGAGUGGAAUUCCACGUGUAGCGGUGAAAUGCGUAGAGAUGUGGAGGAACACCAGUGGCGAAGGCGACUCUCUAGUCUGUAACUGACGCUGAGGAGCGAAAGCGUGGGGAGCGAACAGGAUUAGAUACCCCGGUAGUCCCUGUCUCUUAUAC